rnacentral:rRNA from 1 species
UGAUGUUAGCGGCGGACGGGUGAGUAACACGUGGGUAACCUGCCUGUAAGACUGGGAUAACUCCGGGAAACCGGGGCUAAUACCGGAUGGUUGUUUGAACCGCAUGGUUCAAACAUAAAAGGUGGCUUCGGCUACCACUUACGGAUGGACCCGCGGCGCAUUAGCUAGUUGGUGAGGUAACGGCUCACCAAGGCCACGAUGCGUACCCAACCUGAGAGGGUGAUCGGCCACACUGGGACUGAGACACGGCCCAUACUCCUACGGGAGGCAGCAAUAAGGAAUCUUCCGCAAUGGACGAAAGUCUGACGGAGCAACGCCGCGUGAGUGAUGAAGGUUUUCGGAUCGUAUAGCUCUGUUGUUAAGGAAGAACAAGUACCGUUCGAAUAGGGCGGUACCUUGACGGUACCUAACCAGAAAGCCACGGCUAACUACGUGCCAGCAGCCGCGGUAAUACGUAGGUGGCAAGCGUUGUCCGGAAUUAUUGGGCGUAAAGGGCUCGCAUGCGGUUUCUUAAGUCUGAUGUGAAAGCUCCCGGCUCAACCGGGGAGGGUCAUUGGAAACUGGGGAACUUGAGUGCAGAAGAGGAGAGUGGAAUUCCACGUGUAGCGGUGAAAUGCGUAGAGAUGUGGAGGAACACCAGUGGCGAAGGCGACUCCCCUGGUCAGUAACUGACGCUGAGGAGCGAAAGCGUGGGGAGCGAACAGGAUUAGAUACCCUGGUAGUCCACGCUGUAAACGAUGAGUACUAAGUGUUAGGGGGUUUCCGCCCCUUAGUGCUGCAGUUAACGCAUUAAUCACUCCGCCUGGGGAGUACGGUCGCAAGAUUGAAACUCAAAGGAAUUGAGGGGGGCCCGCACAAGCGGUGGAGCAUGUGGUUUAAUUGGAAGCAACGGGAAGACCCUUACCAGGUCUUGACAUCCUAGGACAAUCCAAGAGAUAGGACGUCCCUUUGGGGGGCAGAGUGCCAGGUGGUCCAUGGUGGUGUUCAGUUCGUGUCGUGAGAUGUUGGGUUAAUUCCCGCAACGAGCCCAACCCUUGAUUUUAGUUGCCAGCAUUCAGUUGGGCACUUUAAGGGGACUGCCGGUGACAAACCGGAGGAAGGUGGGGAUGACGUCAAAUCAUCAUGCCCCUUAUGACCUGGGCUACCCCCGUGCUACAAUGGACAGAACAAAG